rnacentral:lncRNA from 1 species
AGAUAAAUAAUAAUUAUAAAUAAUAAGUUUAUGAUUUAAAUCUCUUUCAGGUAGCGUUUUUGCCCCUAAGCUCAAAGCAAGUGAAAUUCAGAGUCAUGUGCAGCAGCUGCUUUCUCUGAAGUCAGAUACAAUCAGCAACGUCAUAAUUAGGGUUGGAAAAGGCAACUGCUGUAAUUGGAGUGCUCAGACCGACACACAAUCGUAUCUUGUGGAGAAGGAACUGCGUCAUGAAUGUCCAAGUCCCAUUUACGAGACAUCAGGAAAAAGCUGCUCCAUCCUCAUAGCAGUGGAAACAGUCAUUCUCACUGGUACACUGCACCGACACAGCUUAACUCCUGAGCCAAGCCCGAGGAGGAUGGCAGGCCUGUAAACAGAGAGCUCUGACUACACAGCACCACAGGGUUAUCUCGGCCGUGUCCUGGCACUAACUCUUCCUCACCUUCUCAUAUGUACACCUUCUCAUCUUAUCUCAUUCCCAAAGGUUUAAUAAUACUCUAACAAUUGUUUUCCAAUUUUUGUCCUCCAUUUUCAUUAU